rnacentral:rRNA from 1 species
GAUGAACGCUGGCGGCGUGCCUAAUACAUGCAAGUCGAGCGAACAGAUGAGGAGCUUGCUCCUCUGACGUUAGCGGCGGACGGGUGAGUAACACGUGGAUAACCUACCUAUAAGACUGGGAUAACUUCGGGAAACCGGAGCUAAUACCGGAUAAUAUAUUGAACCGCAUGGUUCAAUAGUGAAAGACGGUUUUGCUGUCACUUAUAGAUGGAUCCGCGCCGCAUUAGCUAGUUGGUAAGGUAACGGCUUACCAAGGCAACGAUGCGUAGCCGACCUGAGAGGGUGCUCGGCCACACUGGAACUGAGACACGGUCCAGACUCCUACGGGAGGCAGCAGUAGGGAAUCUUCCGCAAUGGGCGAAAGCCUGACGGAGCAACGCCGCGUGAGUGAUGAAGGUCUUCGGAUCGUAAAACUCUGUUAUUAGGGAAGAACAAAUGUGUAAGAAACUAUGCACGUCUUGACGGUACCUAAUCAGAAAGCCACGGCUAACUACGUG